UUCAUCAUUCUAUUCUACUGGGUAGCCACUACAUGCUACUAUGUGUCACUGGUGGAUGGUGGGACUCACAGGGAUUAUCUCGAUGAUCGAUAAACCCUAAUGAGUAGAGUUAGAAUCGUUCCAAUCCAUUGAAAGGAGUUUUCAAUGAUAUUGUGAUAGAAAUCAUAAUAUAUCUCACUACCAGUCAGAGUAGAACCUAUGGGGUCA
rnacentral:lncRNA from 1 species